UACGUAGGGUGCAGGCGUUAAUCGGAAUUACUGGGCGUAAAGCGUGCGCAGGCGGUUUCUUAAGUCAGAUGUGAAAGCCCCGGGCUUAACCUGGGAACUGCGUUUGAAACUGGGAGACUUGAGUGUGGCAGAGGGGGGUGGAAUUCCACGUGUAUCAGUGAAAUGCGUAGAUAUGUGGAGGAACACCGAUGGCGAAGGCAGCCCCCUGGGUUAACACUGACGCUCAUGCACGAAAGCGUGGGGAGCAAACAGG
rnacentral:rRNA from 1 species